CAGCCCCGGACCAAGGCGCCCGCCGGAGGACCAACCUAAAACUCUUAUUGUAUACCCCCUCGCGGGUUUUUUUAUAAUCUGAGCCUUCUCGGCGCCUCUCGUAGGCGUUUCGAAAAUGAAUCAAAACUUUCAACAACGGAUCUCUUGGUUCUGGCAUCGAUGAAGAACGCAGCGAAAUGCGAUAAGUAAUGUGAAUUGCAGAAUUCAGUGAAUCAUCGAAUCUUUGAACGCACAUUGCGCCCGCCAGUAUUCUGGCGGGCAUGCCUGUCCGAGCGUCAUUUCAACCCUCGAACCCCUCCGGGGGGUCGGCGUUGGGGAUCGGCCCUCCCUCUAGCGGGGGCCGUCUCCGAAAUACAGUGGCGGUCUCGCCGCAGCCUCUCCUGCGCAGUAGUUUGCACACUCGCAUCGGGAGCGCGGCGCGUCCACAGCCGUUAAACACCCAACUUCUGAAAUGUUGACCUCGGAUCAGGUAGGAAUACCCGCUGAACUUAAGCAUA
rnacentral:rRNA from 1 species